UACGUAGGGGGCAAGCGUUGUCCGGAAUCAUUGGGCGUAAAGCGCGUGUAGGCGGCCAGAAAAGUCCGCUGUGAAAACUCGAGGCUUAACUUCGAGCUGUCGGUGGAAACUUUCUGGCUAGAGUCCGGAAGAGGAGAAUGGAAUUCCUGGUGUAGCGGUGAAAUGCGCAGAUAUCAGGAAGAACACCCGUGGCGAAGGCGGUUCUCUGGGACGGUACUGACGCUGAGACGCGAAAGCAUGGGGAGCGAACAGG
rnacentral:rRNA from 1 species